UAAAACAGUUAAUACGCUUAAAAUCACGCACAGCUCCAUCAUAAAACGAUCAAUACGCUUAACCGUUUAAUUAUUGAGCUGUGCGUGAUUUUAAGCGUAUUAAAUGUUUA
rnacentral:pre_miRNA from 1 species